rnacentral:rRNA from 1 species
UACGGGGGGGGCUAGCGUUGCUCGGAAUCACUGGGCGUAAAGGGUGCGUAGGCGGGUCUUAAGUCAGGGGUGAAAUCCUGGAGCUCAACUCCAGAACUGCCUUUGAUACUGGUGAUCUUGAGUCCGGGAGAGGUGAGUGGAACUGCGAGUGUAGAGGUGAAAUUCGUAGAUAUUCGCAAGAACACCAGUGGCGAAGGCGGCUCACUGGCCCGGUACUGACGCUGAGGUGCGAAAGCGUGGGGAGCAAACAGG